ACCCGCCAGCCCCGCGCUCUACCAGGCAGAGCGCGUGUGGCCGCCGAGCACAUGGACCCACUGGUCAAGCGGGCUCGGCAAGGCCAGGAUGAAGAGAAGCUACGAACUUAGCAUUCCCAGAGCCCCCCGAGUGGAUAUCCGCGUGGAAAGGAUGUUGGCAGCCCCGGUGACCUCGGAGUCACGGCUGGAUCCACCCUCUUGUCUGAUUUUCUUAACUCUACUACGGUAAGAAGAUGCCCUCCAUCAGCAGGCCGUGUCUGCUGGGACCUCUCUGGAGACUUCCUGAACCCUGUGGAUUUACAGUAAGAUGCAGUUUCCUGGGGAGUAAUUCUGGUGGAUACAAAUUCCGGAGUAUUACACCUGGCUUGCCUGGAGAUGUUACAAGUAGCUGGAUGGAUUCUUCAGCCUGGAUGCCCACUGAAAACAAGGACCGAAACUAAGAGGAUUGUAUCUCUACCCUUGACUCAAUGAGAAUGUUUGUUGUCAUCUCUCGGGCUACCUGGAGCUCCCUCUAAAAUUAUACCCUUUAAGCGUUCCAGAAGGAUUUUGAGAUCCUUUCCUAAAUCAAAGGUGGAAUAUUUGGGGAUUUGGAAAAUUGAGCAUUUUUUUCCCCACUUGCUUGACUGUAAUGCUAACAUGCUCUCUCUGCUCCAACCUGGAGAAGCCAGUCUCUCAGAAGAACCAGUUGUGUUACUUUGCUGUGAGAUGCCUGCCCUAAGAGAGGAGCAGAAGGUCGGAACGGGUCCUCUAAUGUGAUAAUUAGAUGUGAAGCGUUGACUUAAGAGAUGCCAAGUAACUCAGCAGAUGUCACACAGACGAUAAAUAGCAAAGAUGGAAGUCUUCAUGCCGGAGGCAAUCCUAUAAGACAGCUGAGUUCUGCAGAGCUGGUAGGAGACAGACUUGCUCAGGUGAUAGAUCCAGCCAUGAUACUGACCCUAAGAGAAUGAGACGCUCUGCAGAAGACAGAAGAUUCCUGAAACUGGGAAAGGUGCCUAGAAAUCCUGAUAAGAGUGAAGAAGGCUCGGCUCUCCAGUGUGGUUUUCCAACAGGAGUCAAAUAUUAAAGGACAUGAGCGUGUUGGGGAAAAAGAUGGAUAGUGCUAAACAGCCUGAGUUCAUCCUCACUAUCCUCUUCAUAAGGAGAGCAAGAACAACCCCGGAAAUGGCUCAUGCUUAAGGUUUCUAACCACGGUCACACCUACAACACACUGAUUGACAAUAUAGGUUACAGUACACAUGGCUCUGCUAUUUGCUUUUUGGUCACUUUGAUAUUCCCUGGUACCUGGGAAGAAGGAAUCUCCGUUGAGGAGUUGCCUACAUUUGAUUAGCCCGUAGGCAUGUCUCUGAGGCCUUUUCAUAGUUGCUAAUUGAUGGAGGACAGCUUAGCCCACUGUGGGUGGUGCCAUCUCCUGGACAUGGGGUCCUGGCUUAUAUCAGAAGGGAAGCUAAGCAUGCGCCUGGGAGCAAGCCAGUAAGUAGGUCUCCUCCAUGGUCCCUGUCUCUGCUCCUGCCCUUAAUUUCCUCAGCGAAUGACUGAUGCAAACAUGUAAGCCAAACAAACCCUUCUUUCCUCUCUGUUACUGUUGGUCGUGGUGUUUAUCACAGCAAUAGGAAAAAACACUAGGGCAGUGACGUAUAAGAGUGCACUGUGCCAUUGUGAGGAUUCAAUAUCCUUAGCGAUCUUCAGAAAAAGUUUACUAUGGUGCCUGGAGCAUUGUUAUUUGCAGAGAUCCCUAGUGGCUCCUGGGCCUCAGUUUCCCUGUCUUCAUUCUGUCUGUAUUAUAUAAGCAUGGUGUCCAUAGCUCUAGCUCUUGCUUAAUGAUUCAACUGAGUAGGUACAACCAUGCUGACCAGCCAUGACAUGUCCUGCCUGGCCAUAGCCUGGAGUUGGACACAGAAACAGGGGCAUAGCUGCCUACUGUGUGUGGCACAGUGUGUGUCAAACUCCUGGAGGCAGCCAGGCAGCCAUCUCUAUAUUCUUCCUAUCAGAAUUCCUUUCACAGGUCCAAGCCAUCUUAAGAUGGAUAAAGGCCUGGCCUUCAGGCAAGGCUAUGCCUGUCAGUUCCGAAUCUCCAGCUAAGUGGACUUGCAGCCCUCCCUGUCCUCUGGAUGUCUGCAUCAUUCAUACAAGGGACACGUUCUCUUUAGAGAAGAGCGUCUUCUGGGCUUCUCCCAGGUUGGAAGUGUCCUCUACUUCUUUCUUCCUGGCAAAAGCACUGGCCUAAGCAGCUCAGGAACAACCUACAAUAGAGGGAGGGCCUCUUACCUCGGAUGGAAGUGGAAACAUAGUCUCCACGUUGGAACUGAGUCUUGGUUAUGCUCUGAGAAGUAGCCUGGAUUUCUAAGAUCUCAUGCUCAUCGUUUUCUCUGGAGGCCCAACUCUGUUCUCAUGAGCCCUGGCACGUUCCCUACCAGCAUCUUUGUUUCCUAUCUGAGGAGUGCGGAUGAUGCUUCUCCUGGUAAGGGGUAUGAAUAGAAUUCCUGCCUGUGUUCUAUGUGCUGAAUCCCAGAGCCUAGAGUAGGGCCUGGGCUCUGGCGAUUGACUGGUAAACACUUGUUUUGGAAGAGAUAGUAGAGUCUUUGGAGUUCCUGGCACAAUCUUCUUGGAUAGUUGCCUGUGCCCGUUCUAAACCAGGAUCUGACUAAUUACAACUCCUCCUGCUUGCAUUAAAGUUUUAUUGGAACAUGGCGGUGUUCACGGUUUUAUAUGAUGUCGUCGAGCUUCUUUGCUCCCGCACUGGUAAAUUUAAUAGUCAUGAGAGAGAUAUGGCCGUGAAGCCUAAAAUAAAAACUAUGUGGCACUUGGUUACAAAAA
rnacentral:lncRNA from 1 species